UACGAAGGUCCCGAGCGUUAUCCGGAUUUAUUGGGUUUAAAGGGUGCGUAGGCGGGUUAUUAAGUCAGUGGUGAAAGCCUUCAGCUUAACUGAAGAAUUGCCAUUGAUACUGAUGAUCUUGAGUAUGAUUGAGGUGGGCGGAAUGUGUAAUGUAGCGGUGAAAUGCUUAGAUAUGACACAGAACACCGAUUGCGAAGGCAGCUCACUAAGUCAUAACUGACGCUGAUGCACGAAAGCGUGGGGAGCAAACAGG
rnacentral:rRNA from 1 species